GGGCCUUGCUAAGCUGUUUUCUUCUCUUUCAGGUCAAAGGGGCUCCCAGGAAGAGCAAAGCCCUGGGGGCUGAUCCCCCUCCAAAGGACAGCGAGGGUCUGAGCGUUCCGGAUGAGUACGAGGAGGACAGCUCGGAUGAGGAGAAGAUCCCCGGUGCUGCUGCUGCUUCCUGUGGCCGCUUUGUGCUCAUCGCCCCGCGCUGCCCCGGCUUCGUCCCUCCGUGCUGCAGGAGGGACUGUUAUCUUCCGUUUCUCCUUAUCUCUUCUUCGUUGAGACCCCCAGCUUCUGUUUCGUAGCGUCGUUCUAAUUAACGCGUGAACUCAUCCUUA